AUCCAACUGACAAGUUUCAAAUAGGACGAAAUGCGCAUCCUGGAU
rnacentral:hammerhead_ribozyme from 1 species